rnacentral:misc_RNA from 1 species
GAAAUGCGAUAAGUAAUGUGAAUUGCAGAAUUCAGUGAAUCAUCGAAUCUUUGAACGCACCUUGCGCUCCUUGGUAUUCCUUGGAGCAUGCCUGUUUGAGUAUCAUGAAAUCUUCAAAGUAAAUCUUUUGUUAACUCAAUUGGUUUCUACUUUGGUAUUGGAGGUCUUUGCAGCUUCACACCUGCUCCUCUUUGUUCAUUAGCUGGAUCUCAGUGUUAUGCUUGGUUCCACUCGGCGUGAUAAGUUAUCUAUCGCUGAGGACACUGUAAAAGGUGGCCAAGGUAAAUGCAGAUGAACCGCUUCUAAUAGUCCAUUGACUUGGACAAUACUUUUAUGAUCUGAUCUGAAAUCAGGUAGGACUACCCGCUGAACGUAAGC